ACUCAAAGGAAUUGACGGGGGCUCACACAAGCGGUGGAGCAUGUGGCUUAAUUCGAAGCAACGCGAAGAACCUUAUCCUGGGCUUGACAUGGUAGAAGUAAGAAACAGAAAUGUUUAUGACCGGUAUCCAAUCCGGAACUAUCACAGGUGCUGCAUGGCUGUCGUCAGCUCGUGCUGUGAAGUGUCGGGUUAAGUCCCAUAACGAGCGAAACCCUUAUCGUUAGUUGCUAACAUGUAAUGGUGAGCACUCUAACGAGACUGCCGGUGUUAAACCGGAGGAAGGUGGGGAUGACGUCAAGUCCUCAUGGCCUUUAUGCCCAGGGCUGCACACGUGCUACAAUGCCGAUGACAAACCGAAGCAAGACCGUAAGGUGGAGCAAAUCGGAGAAAAAUCGGCCCAGUUCAGAUUGAGGGCUGCAACUCGCCCUCAUGAAGUUGGAAUCGCUAGUAAUCGUAGAUCAGCUAUGCUACGGUGAAUGUGUUCCUGAGCCUUGUACACACCGCCCGU
rnacentral:rRNA from 1 species